rnacentral:rRNA from 1 species
CCUACGGGUGGCAGCAGUGAGGAAUAUUGGUCAAUGGCCGGAAGGCUGAACCAGCCAUGCCGCGUGAAGGUCAGUGCCCUAUGGGCUUUAAACUUCUUUUGUGCGGGAGCAAUAAUGGUCACGUGUGGCCAGACGAGAGUACCGUACGAAUAAGCAUCGGCUAACUCCGUGCCAGCAACCGCGGUAAUACGGGGGAUGCAAGCGUUAUCCGGAUUUAUUGGGUUUAAAGGGUGCGUAGGCUGUGAGGUAAGUCAGCGGUGAAAUGCCCCCGCUCAACGGGGUGAAGUGCCAUUGAUACUGCCUUGCUGGAAUGCGGAUGCCGUGGGAGGAAUGUGUGGUGUAGCGGUGAAAUGCAUAGAUAUCACACAGAACACCGAUUGCGAAGGCAUCUCACGAAUCCGCGAUUGACGCUGAUGCACGAAAGCGUGGGUAUCAAACAGGAUUAGAUACCCUGGUAGUC